GGCAAGACGUGGAGGCUUGGGGGCUCGUUGGGGCUGGACAACUCAGAGGCUUGAUAGAAAAUUGAGGAUGGGACUUGAGAAGCUAGCUUGCAAGUUAUGAUUAAACAGGUUUCAAGUUUGGUUCAUAGUCUCUCUCUUUGUUUCUUCUUGGCUGGUUGUUUAUCGAAUACAUUUUAGCGCCCCCUACUGGUUAAAAGGUUCAGUUUCAUGAAAAAUAAUAAUAGGAUGGAGGAACUGUCAUUUCUUUUAACAACAGAAGGUAAUAUUCUGUUAGGAAACUAAUUUACUAUCAUGAGAUAUUGUUUCUUUUUUCUAUUGUUUUGAAAGCAGAUUUUUUAAAUGGAUUUGGUUCAGAAUUAGCCUUAAUAUUAGUACUAAUUGGAAUUGUUUUAGUGGGACACUCCAAAUUUCAAUGAAUAAUCAUUCCAAAAGCCUUGCUUUAAUUUAUGCAUCAUGUAGGACAAAUCAUGAUGACUAAUUAUAUAUAUGCUAUAGUUAUAACCA